ACUGUAACAAACUUACCAAACUAUAAAAACACAGUUGACACACUCUCAAAUUUAAAUGAAUUCCGAAAAUAUUAGCAUUGACUCUUAUGAGAAAACCGGCUAGUUGUCAAACGCUGCCAUCUUGAUGACCUCGGAUGACGUCAGUGUAUUUGGCUAAUUCCCGUGUUUUUUCUUGCACUAUUUCCUCGAUUAAAUUUCGAAGUUCGUCGGUAACACUAGGCAACUGUUUAGCACUACGUGUACUACCACCCAUAGUUUUAAUGUGUUUAAUUAAUUAAUGAAAAUUAUAGCGCAGUGUAAAAAUCACGCGCCCACUUUUUGGCAGUUCAGCAGAUAUAUAUAUAUAAUAUAUUUUUACUUUAGCUGUUGGCAAAACUUCAUUAUGACAACUCUGAGCGCAUCUUCCACGAGGCAAAUAUUCUGCGCUGGUCAUAAAGAACUUCAGAAUCCGACAUUCAUUCAGAUGCAAGAUCACCGCAUAAUUUGGUCCCAGAAGCCCCAAAAUGUAUUCAGCCGAAUAAGAAAUUUUCCUUUAAUAGGAUUAACUGGGAAUUGUAUUAGAUACAAAUAUUUAUCUUUAAUAAAUUAAUGAAAAUAA